rnacentral:rRNA from 1 species
UACAGAGGUGGCAAGCGUUGUCCGGAAUCACUGGGCGUAAAGGGCGCGUAGGCGGCCUGAUAAGUAGGGGGUGAAAUCCUGAGGCUUAACCUCAGGGCUGCCUUCUAAACUGUCAGGCUCGAGCACAGUAGAGGCAGGUGGAAUUCCCGGUGUAGCGGUGGAAUGCGUAGAGAUCGGGAAGAACAUCAGUGGCGAAGGCGGCCUGCUGGGCUGUUGCUGACGCUGAGGCGCGACAGCGUGGGGAGCAAACAGG